UAUAUAUAUAUAUAUAUAUAUAUAUAUACAUAUAUAUAUAUAUAUAUACAUAUAACUGAAAUAGAUAACUGAAAAUUGAUUGAACACACUUAAUGAUAAGCCUUUCUCACUCAAUUCUCACUAUAAGGCCAAAAUCUGCCAUUUUUGAGGCACUGCCUGCGUUCGUGAAAGAUUUUAGACAAUUCAAACAAGGUGAAAAGCGACUUUUAAAAGUAAAUUUACCAUCAUACAACAACUAUAUAAUACUAAAAAAUUGUAUUUCUAUAUUUCCUGGUGCGGAGACUCUCAAACGUGGGAGAGGCAGUAGCCCCAAAAUGGCGGAAAAAUCGGUCGUGAGCAGGGCGCUUUAAUAUAUACUAUAUAUAAGCGCCCUGCUCGUGAGAAAGGCUAAUUUGCCUUCGAUCGUGCUAGAUGAAAGCACGCGCGCAUGUGCAUAUGUAACCGAAAACUAUUAUAACAUUUGCCGAUAUUAUGAGAAAAUAUAUAUUAAUGUGCAAAGAAUUUGGAAGUUUUGGACUUGUGAUCUCAGAUAAACUGAGCUAAUUUUGUAUUGUAUAUAUAGUAGGUAUUAGACAUAUAUUAACACAAACAUGUAUAAUAUCAGUAAUAGAAAAUAUAUAGACUUGACAUAUUAUAUUAUAAAAU